rnacentral:rRNA from 1 species
GUCCAUGCCGUAACGAUGUCUACUAGCCGUUGGGUCUUUGAGACUUUAGUGGCGCAGCUAACGCGAUAAGUAGACCGCCUGGGAGUACGGUCGCAAGACUAAACUCAAAUGAAUUGACGGGGCCCGCACAAGCGGUGGAGCAUGUGGUUUAAUUCGAUGCAACGCGAAGAACCUUACCUGGUCUUGACAUACAGAGAACUUUCCAGAGAUGGAUUGGUGCCUUCGGGAACUCUGAUACAGGUGCUGCAUGGCUGUCGU